UACGUAGGGUGCAAGCGUUAAUCGGAAUUACUGGGCGUAAAGCGUGCGCAGGCGGUUUUGUAAGUUUGUCGUGAAAUCCCCGGGCUCAACCUGGGAAUUGCGAUGGAGACUGCAAGGCUAGAAUCUGGCAGAGGGGGGUAGAAUUCCGCGUGUAGCAGUGAAAUGCGUAGAGAUGCGGAGGAACACCGAUGGCGAAGGCAGCCCCCUGGGCCAAUACUGACGCUCAGGCACGAAAGCGUGGGGAGCAAACGAGG
rnacentral:rRNA from 1 species